CAAAUCGAAGAGGCGCAACUGACAUUAGUAACGUGGCCGAGUUUUGGUACAGAUGUCGACACCACGUAAAAGGGGAGGUUGCCGAAGCAGUAGGAAUUACCAACCUAUUUUCUGGGAUGCAGUUUAAGAGAUUGCAUACUGUCGCGAAAAAAAUAGUCAAUUCGCGGAGCGCUAUCGAGUAA
rnacentral:ncRNA from 2 species